CCCUCCCGCCGGAUCUAGCAGAGGGGAGGGCUCCUCCACCUGCCGCUGCCGCCUCCCCUCCCGCCAGAUCUGGCGAAAGGG
rnacentral:pre_miRNA from 3 species